rnacentral:lncRNA from 1 species
UUGGUGGGCAAAGGCCCAACUGCUUGGCUGCCAGGCCCAGCCAAUCAGAAUGAGUAUACUCCUCAGCCCUCCCCCAGACGAUCCAUCAGAUGAAGAAGCCGGAAGUGGAGGUCCUGGGUUGGCGUGGUAACUUGUGGUCUCUGCGGUUGUGAGGCCGGUUGGAUGUACUGCCAAAUUCUCUAAAACGACGUUGGAGGAGGCUUAUGGUAGAGAUAUUAACAUUUAAUUAUCUGUAAACAGCUCUGGUGGACAUUCCUGUAGUCAGCAUGGCAAUUGCGCACUCCCUCAAAACAUCAGACAUCUGUGGCAUUGUGUUGCGUGACAAAACUUCACAUUUAAGUGGUCUUUUAUUAUCCCCAGCACAAGGUGCACCUGUGUAAUGAUCAUGAUGUUUGUUUUUCUUCUUGAUGUGCCACACCUGUCAGGUGGAUGGAUUAUUUUGGCAAAGGAGUAAUGCUCACUAACAGGGAUGUAAACGAAUUUGUGCACAACAUUUUAGAGAAAUCAGCUUUUUAUGCGUAUGGAACAUUUCUGGGAUCUUUUAUUUCAGCUCAUGAAACAUGGGACCAACACUUUACAUUUUGUGUUUUAUAUUUUUGUUCGGUGUAUUUAGGGGAGUUGAAUUAGGGGGACCAUUCAAACAGCUGCUGAGAUCACCGAGGUGGUCGAUCGUUCGGGACACUGCCCUAGUCUAACAGGCAAUGCACUAUAGAGCCAUCAGGUCUUAACAGGCUAGUUUCCAUAGGCAUGACCAAUCUAGGCAUUUUAAUUCUAUGGUAGUCUCUGCCACUCCCCAGCCAAUAAAAUUAAACCAAAUGACAUGCCUAUGGUAGUCUCUGCCACUCCCCACCAAUCAAAUUAAACCAAAUGACAUGCCUAUGGUAGUCUCUGCCACGCCCCAGCCAAUCAAAUUAAACCAAAUGACAUGCCUAUGGUAGUCUCUGCCACGCCCCAGCCAAUCAAAUUAAACCAAAUGACAUGCCUAUGGUAGUCUCUGCCACUCCCCAGCCAAUCAAAUUAAACCAAAUGACAUGCCUAUGGUAGUCUCUGCCACUCCCCAGCCAAUCAAAUUAAACCAAA